GAUGAAGAACGCAGUGAAAUGCGAUACUUGGUGUGAAUUGCAGAAUCCCGUGAACCAUCGAGUCUUUGAACGCAAGUUGCGCCCGAAGCCAUUAGGCCGAGGGCACGCCUGCCUGGGCGUCACACGUCGUUGCCCCCCCAUCUACUCCUUCGGGAUUGCGGGGGGCGGAUGAUGGCCUCUCGUGCGCCUCGUCGCGCGGUUGGCCUAAAUGCCAAGUCCUCGGCGACGCACGCCACGACAAUCGGUGGUUGCGAAACCUCGGUUGCCUGUCGUGUGCGGUCGUCGCGCAUCGAGGGCUCGAAAAAAUUGCCGGGCUUCGGCCCGACUUUCAACGCGACCCCAGGUCAGGCGGGGUUACCCGCUGAAUUUAAGCAUAUCAAUAAGCGGAGGA
rnacentral:misc_RNA from 1 species